GAUGAACGCUGGCGGCGUGCCUAAUACAUGCAAGUCGAGCGAACGGACGAGAAGCUUGCUUCUCUGAUGUUAGCGGCGGACGGGUGAGUAACACGUGGAUAACCUACCUAUAAGACUGGGAUAACUUCGGGAAACCGGAGCUAAUACCGGAUAAUAUUUUGAACCGCAUGGUUCAAAAGUGAAAGACGGUCUUGCUGACACUUAUAGAUGGAUCCGCGCUGCAUUAGCUAGUUGGUAAGGUAACGGCUUACCAAGGCAACGAUGCAUAGCCGACCUGAGAGGGGGAUCGGCCACACUGGAACUGAGACACGGUCCAGACUCCUACGGGAGGCAGCAGUAGGGAAUCUUCCGCAAUGGGCGAAAGCCUGACGGAGCAACGGCGCGUGAGUGAUGAAGGUCUUCGGAUCGUAAAACUCUGUUAUUAGGGAAGAACAUAUGUGUAAGUAACUGUGCACAUCUUGACGGUACCUAAUCAGAAAGCCACGGCUAACUACGUG
rnacentral:rRNA from 1 species